rnacentral:lncRNA from 1 species
CCUGUUUCGCCCCUGUUCCGCACCGACCAGCCCCCAUCCGGCCAGCUCCAGCCACCGCUUAGCCUCACCGGACCUCCCCCGCAACCCCCUCGCCCUCCGCCAGCUUCCCCUCGCCGCCCUAGCCGCCGGAGCAGCCCAGAUCGGCUCCGUCCAGCAGACCCACGGAGUGGGUUUCAGCAUCUUCGGGCUCGCUUUUGGGCCGUUUCCCGGCCCUGAACCCGAGCCGUGCUUUGGGAACAAUCGUUCCUCGCGUCGCCGCCAUCGGAUUGAUCCGAUUUGCACGCGAUUUGGUGAGUAAUCUCACUAAUCCAGGAUUAGUUGGCUAAUUAUGCUUAAGGUUGGUUUAGAUUUAAUUAAUUAUGUUUAGGUUGUUAGAUUAGAAUAAAUUAGCAAUUAUUAGUCAAUUGUGAUGCGAUUUAGAUAAAUUGAUUGUGUAAUUAGCAAGUAGACGUGAUCUACUAAUUAUUGGAAGUGCCUCAGGAUUUUUCCCGACCCUUAGUGGGCUCCAAUUAGGAUUUUCGGGCCUAAGUGGAUUUUUUAAUAUUUAAAUAUUAAUUUUCGGAAUUAAAUUAAAUAAUUAUUUAUUUUCUGAAAAUUCAACUGAGGUGGCUUGGGACCGGAAAAUUAUGCUGAUGAUCGUGGUGAAGUCCGUUUAUUUAAUCGGGCUUUAUUUUGAGCUAAAUUGAAUUUUUUAAUAUUAAUUAUUUAAUUUUCGAAAUUAAUUAUUUAUUUAUUUAUUUUUCGAAAAUUAAGAUUUUGAUGGCCGAAGAUCGAAAUCUCGUGCUGAUCGUCAUGGCGUAGCCCGUUUAUUUAUUUGAGCUCCACGUUGUAUGGAAUUGAAUAAAUUGUGAUAUUUUAGUGAUUUACCCUAAAUUGAUUGGAAUCGAUUGAGAUUGAAUUAUUGAUUGGUGAUUGGCCAAGUAUGUUAUUCAGCAUUUAUAAUACUUCGUUGAGUUGAUUUAAAUAUUUGAUUGAGAAAUCGUUGGGCAUUGGUUAUCGGUAUUGAAAGAAGAUUGGUAACAACUUGAAAGAGGACACGUGGACUUGGUGAAUUGGAAUGUCACCUGGAAAAUGCACGUGAGUUCAGUGGUUGAAUAUGUCACCUUGGUGAAAAGGUCGCAUGAGAGAAUGCACUUGGCUCGGAGACUCGGUAUGUCGUCCUGGAGAAUGCAUGUGGCUCGGUGACAAAGUUUGGCAUCUAAAAAGGCAUGUGGCUCGGUGAUCUGAUGCGUCACUUUGGUAAGCGAGUACCUUAGAGAAUGCACGUGGGCCCAGGCAUCUAAAAGGACACGUGGCUCGGUGAUCUGAUGCGUCACUUUGGUAAGCGAGUAACUUAGAGAAUGCACGUGGGUCCAGUAUUCGGAAUGGCAUCUAAAAGGACACGUGGCUCGGUGAUCUGAUGCGUCACUUUGGUAAGCGAGUACCUUAGAGAAUGCACGUGGGCCCGGGCAUCGUAAAAAGGACAUGUGGCUCGGUGGCUUGAUGUACCACCUUGGCGAAGAGGUCGCCUUAGAGAAUGCAUGUGGGUCCGAGGUUUGAGGCACAUGGCUCGGAGACUUGGAAGGUCGUCUUGGAGAAUGCACAUGGCCUAGCUUUUAAAUAUCCCACGGUGGGGAUUGAAUUGUAUGACAUGUAAUCGACUAGUUCGAUUUGUUUGAAGCGAAUGGCUGUUUAUUGUGAAUUGUACUGACUUGCAGGUGAGAUCUGAGGCCAAGGUAAGUCCUCUACCCUGUGCGUUUUUAGGCAGCCUGUAGUAUAAUAGUUUAUCUAAUCGGGCUUAGUGGGGUAGAACUCGCUGAGACGUAGUCUCAUCCUAGUUUGGGGAAAACCAUUUCAGGACCCCGCUGAAGAGCUAAGGAGGAGGAAUCCGAGAAGGAGAACUCGGAAGUGAGAUAUGAAGAGAAGGAUUUUUGGAAGAAGAAGAUGGUCCCGAGAGGGGCCUUGAGUACGGCCCGAAUGGCUGAGAGUUUAUCUUCUUUUGAGAUCUCCUUUUUGAUGUGAAUAGUUUUGAAGUGGUUUGUGUUUUGUAUAAAAGUUUGGUUAUAAAUUUCAAUAUGAAAAA